rnacentral:rRNA from 1 species
UACGUAGGGUGCGAGCGUUAAUCGGAAUUACUGGGCGUAAAGCGUGCGCAGGCGGUUGUGCAAGACCGAUGUGAAAUCCCCGGGCUUAACCUGGGAAUGGCAUUGGUGACUGCACGGCUAGAGUGUGUCAGAGGGGGGUAGAAUUCCACGUGUAGCAGUGAAAUGCGUAGAUAUGUGGAGGAAUACCGAUGGCGAAGGCAGCCCCCUGGGAUAACACUGACGCUCAUGCACGAAAGCGCGGGGAGCAAACAGG